rnacentral:rRNA from 1 species
UCCGAUAACAAAUGACACUAGCCUACUAAAUAGUUCGGGGACCCCCACAAAGGGGCCCGCUAAAUAUUGGAGGGACAGGUGGCGUUUGGCACUCGAGAUUGAGCAAUAACA